rnacentral:lncRNA from 1 species
CUUCUAGGUAUUUUUACUGUUUAUGCAGUGAAUAUUAAAAGGCGCAGGAAUUUGAGAUCUCAAUUGAUAUGUAAUUGUAGUAUGGGAGAGCUGCCCUUGGAGCAAAGAUUUAUCUAGACCGAAUCUAGCGUAAAAAACAGCUCAAUUUCCUGCGCUGCAGGUAUGCACAAGCUGUGCAUCUAAACGAGGGAAAAGUAUAUCCAAGCACUGCCGAAUUUCUCGCUUUUUCUCUGCGCCACCGAACAGUGGCACCUCCGCCUCCCCGGGGUUAGGACUUGGCCGCUAGAGGCCCUUCUGCGCCCGCAGGAGGCGACGCAGCCAUUUCACGGCGGCUGCGGCUGCCACUGCCACUGCUACUGCUGCUGCUGCUGCUGCGAGGGGUUCUAGCGGAAACGAGGGGCAAAGUUUCCGUUUUCACUGAUGUAAUAUCAGAGGAGAUGUGGCUCUGGGGUCAUGGUUCCUUCUUGCUGGAAAGAGGACUAUAUGAAUGGGGACAUCAGGGUUACUCGAAGCUACUGUGUACGCCUGCAGUGGCCUGCAACCCAGCUAAGAACAGCUGUUUCUGUAGGGGUUGAAAUGCACCAGCAAAGUUCAUCCC